GUCGAACGCUGGCGGCGUGCCUAACACAUGCAAGUCGAACGGAAAGGCCCUGCUUUUGUGGGGUGCUCGAGUGGCGAACGGGUGAGUAACACGUGAGUAACCUGCCCUUGACUUUGGGAUAACUUCAGGAAACUGGGGCUAAUACCGGAUAGGAGCUCCUGCUGCAUGGUGGGGGUUGGAAAGUUUCGGCGGUUGGGGAUGGACUCGCGGCUUAUCAGCUUGUUGGUGGGGUAGUGGCUUACCAAGGCUUUGACGGGUAGCCGGCCUGAGAGGGUGACCGGCCACAUUGGGACUGAGAUACGGCCCAGACUCCUACGGGAGGCAGCAGUGGGGAAUAUUGCACAAUGGGCGGAAGCCUGAUGCAGCAACGCCGCGUGCGGGAUGACGGCCUUCGGGUUGUAAACCGCUUUCGCCUGUGACGAAGCGUGAGUGACGGUAAUGGGUAAAGAAGCACCGGCUAACUACGUG
rnacentral:rRNA from 1 species